rnacentral:lncRNA from 1 species
UUGUGUUCCCCACCCAUUAAUCUCUCCUUUGGAAACCCAACAGUCAGGCGGCUAGGGUUUAUUUUUUGGAUUCCUCCAUCGUUAAUUGGUUGUCCAUUAACAAACCAUCUCAUUUUAGUUUUUUAUUUUUAUUUUUAUUUUAAUCUAUUCUGGUUUACAUAUUCAAAUUAUUAUUAAGAUAACAAAUGACCAUAAGUGGCUUAGUGGAGAGAGAGUAGUUUCACUUGCUUUAGUGGGAUGGGUUUGAUACUUGGGAGUUGCAUAUCUCCAUAUUUUUAUUUUUAUGCUUACUAUAUCAUUUAAAUUUUUAUAGUUU